AUCACGUCGCGCUGCGACUGAGGCGUGGCGUCUGCUGGGGCACCUGAAGGAGACUUUGGGACACCCGCGUCGUGCCUCUUGGGCUGUGAGGAGUCGCCGCUGCCGCCAGUGCCUGUGCUUCAUGAGGAAGAUGCUCGCCGCCGUCUCCCGCGUGUUGUCUGGCGCUUCUCAGAAGCCGAAGCGACGCGGACCGGGAUCCCGCCAAGGUCCUUGUGGACUUCCCCCUUCUCGACACCCCGCUCCCGCCGCCGGGCCCAGCUGUGCGCCGGGCGAAGUCAGUGUGCUCAAGAGGUUGGUUUACAGGACACGGAAAGGGUGGCCUCGGCCUCCUUCGAGUCUCCGAUUGACCCUACUCUUUUCAGAUCUUCGUAAUUUCUCUUGACCGAGAGGCUUUGUAAUAGCGUAGAAUCUGGAGACGGGGUGGCUCCGUUCAAACAGCACCCUCACCAUUGACUAAUCCUGUGACCUUGAGCAAGUUUUUAAACUUCCCGGGGACCCGGUUUCCUGAAAUGUUUGCGCUAAGUGGAGUUAAUCUCUAAGUGGAGAUAAGAGUUAUCUCUGAAAUGUUAUCGGUUAUUAAAAUGUUAUCCGUUAACUCUAAAAUGGAGAUAAGAGUCCCCACCUCUUGGGAUUGUCUUGAGGAUUCAACGAGUGACACGUGUGGAUACGAUUCCAAAUAGCACCCGGCCCAUAGUCGAUAGCACGUGUGUUGAAUAGUGUUAUUUACUGAGUGUCCCGUUCGGUAUACAUUUCUUGAACACCUGUGCUCAGUUCUGAGACGGGUUCACAGAGGGUCAGCCUCUUCAGAAACAAACUUCCCCCCCUUCCCUCUCCCUCCACAUCUGAGCUUUUCUUGGCAGUGAGUUCAGGAGUGCGGAAGCAGAACUCAGAGGACGCUGCCCUCCCCUCCCCUUACCUACACAUUCUUGGGGUACAAGUAGCUAAAGCAAACAGCAACGAUGCUCGAGGGGUGGGGGGUAGAGUCCAACACUAUGUCAUGGCCUCAGCAUUUAGAGGUGCCUAACACCUAAGCUUCUAGCAUUCUGACCCCUAGGCACAGUGAGGUCGUGUUAAUUGGUGUAACUGCAGGCCUCGGGAUUCUGGUCAUUCCCCCAGGACUUGAUACAGCUCUGAGUACAGGCAGAGAUUGUCAAAAGGUAAGAGGUCUGCCCCUCUAGGAAUCCUGUUGCCUAAAAUAAUGACAGAACUGCCGGGUGCGGUGGCUCAAGCCUGUAAUCCCAGCACUUUGGGAGGCUGAGGCGGGUGGAUCACCUGAGGGCAGAAGUUCGAGAUCAGCCUGGCCAACGUGGUGAAACCCCGUCUCUACUAAAAAUACAAAAUUAGCUGGGCAUGGUGGCGGGUUCCUGUAAUCCCAGCUACUC
rnacentral:lncRNA from 1 species